rnacentral:rRNA from 1 species
AUACGGAGGAUGCAAGCGUUAUCCGGAUUUAUUGGGUGUAAAGGGUGCGCAGGCUGUUCGGAAAGUCAGGGGUGAAAGCCCGGCGCCUAACGCCGGAACUGCCUUUGAUACUUGCGAGCUGGAAUACGGAUGCCGGGGGAGGAAUGUGUAGUGUAGAGGUGAAAUGCACAGAUAUUACUCAGAAAACCGAUAGCGAAGGCAUCUCACGAAUCCGUCAUUGACGCUGAGGCACGAAAGCGUGGGGAUCAAGCAGGAUUAGAUACCCUGGUAGUCCACGCAGUAAACGAUGAUGACUAACCGUCGGCGAUACACAGUCGGUGGCCAAGCGAAAGCGAUAAGUCAUCCACCUGGGGAGUACGUUCGCAAGAAUGAAACUCAAAUGAAUUGGCGGGG